rnacentral:tRNA from 2 species
GCGGAUAUGGUCGAAUGGUAAAAUUUCUCUUUGCCAAGGAGA